UGCAGAGAGCUCGAGAGGAUGCCAGAGAGAAUGCCUGUGAAGGUAAAGGCUCUCUGGGGGCUAGCAGGCCUCCAUGCCGCCUAGCCCCCUGCAUGCCCUGCCUACCCUGCCUGCCUAUGGUGUAGAAUGGACAUUAAAAGCCUGGAAACGGUGAGCUCCAGGGCCCUCCUAUACUUGCUCUGCCUUCCUAUUGCCUUCCUGCUGCUAUAGUUGGUGUUGGUCAGCAGGAUUCAACGCGGAUGGCAGCCUUCUGAGGACCCCAAGGACUGAGAGGUGGCAGCCUCCUCUUUCUGUGCCUCACAAGUCCCCGCACAGGUGGAGGGAACUCAGCACACAAUGGGGAAGGCACUGGACAGACGUGCUUGCUCAGAGGCAGGGCUGCGGUUGUCUCUUCGCAGCUCUACAAAUGCAGUCCAGGACAGCGCUGGAGGCACUGUGGUUGUACAAGCGGUGGCGGGAGCUACAGGGCAAGACUUGGUUGCAGCAGAUAGCCUGUGAAGAACAGCUCCCCCUGAGGCAGCAGACUCAUAGGAGACCACAAUUCACCAUUUGGAGCUCACCCAGUGCUGAAGUUUCUCUGAGUCACAAGAAAUGGAAGUGGCCUGCCUACAUGAAUCAGCCAUGGUGGGAAGUGAAUGAGCUUCCAUGAAGCACGAAGACACAGAUUCUGGUUGACAGAACACAAUGGGAGACUUCCUGUCCUAGCAGACACUCAGCAACAGGAAAAGUCGAUGGAAUUCAUGGACCUAUGGAAGGUGGAUGGUCAAUAGACCAAGAGAUUGACAGGAAAAGAAGAGCAGGGCUUGGUGGGAGGAGCCGACAGUGCUGAG